AGCUCCAAUAGCGUAUAUUAAAGUUGUUGCGGUUAAAAAGCUCGUAGUUGGAUUUUGGGGCCACUUCCCGGCGGGCCGGUGUAAACCGCGAACUGCUAGGAUGGCCCUUCCGUCUGGAGGCGGGCACCUUCCUCUUCAUUGAGUGGGUGCUUUCCGCGUCUAGGACCCUUACUUUGAACAAAUUGGAGUGUUUAAAGCAGGCUUUCACGCCUUGAACACAUUAGCAUGGAAUAAAACAAAUAGGGCUUUGGCUUCUAUUUUGUUGGUUUUAAGGGCCGAAGUAAUGAUUAAUAGGGACAGUUGGGGGCAUUCGUAUUUAAUUGUCAGAGGUGAAAUUCUUAGAUUUAUGAAAGACGAACUUCUGCGAAAGCAUUUGCCAAGGAUGUUUUCAUUA
rnacentral:rRNA from 1 species